rnacentral:other from 1 species
AACACGCUGCUGUGUACGUUGUAAAUAAUUAAGUUUUAACCUUUAAGCUGUAAUAGGGAGUUUUAUAUCGAGACAGGAAUGACAAGCCUUCGUCUAUAGGACAGGGAGGACAUGCAGGAACGUCUUUGCAAACACCCACUUUGAGGAGUGGUGGUUUAAAACUUUCUUAUAGGAUACGGCAUAUGCGGCAAUAA